AUGUUGCGUGUAUCCGACCCGUUGAGUCAACUGAACUCACAUGAACCCGAUCGUGUUCAAACUGAUCUGCUCUUCCCGAGCAGAGCCAUUACAAUGUCGCCUUGGGCCUUGCUCUUUCUGCUGGCCGCCCACCUUGCGGCCGGCGAGCCCGCCUCCAUCACGACGCUCACCGCCACUCCGGCGAAGCUGACAAAACCAGACCACGCAGUCACCCUCCAAUGGUCCAACCUCCCCGACCCGAGCCCGCUCGACUACGUGGCCGUCUACUCCCCGCCGUCCUCCGGCGACCUCGACUACCUCGGCUUCCUCCUCCUCAACUCCUCCGCCUCCUGGGCCACGGGCGCCGGCAGCCUCACGCUCCCGCGCCUGCCCGACCUGCGCGCCCCCUACCAGUUCCGCCUCUUCCGGGGCCAGAACCCGCGCGUUGACCAGGAUGCCGACCCGCUCCCCGACGCCAGCCGCCGCGCCGCCGUCUCGGGCAACGUGGCCUACGAGGGAUCCGGCGCCCGGCCCGCCCAGCUGCACCUGGCGUUCACCGACGAAGUGGACGAGAUGCGGGUGCUGUUCGUGUGCGGCGACGGCGGGGAGAGGUCGGUGAGGUACGGGCCCGCCGGCCGGCGCGAGGAGGAGUGGGAGGAGGUGCCGGCGGAGGCGAGCACGUACGAGCGGCGCCACAUGUGCGGCUACCCGGCGAACCAUAGCGUCGGGUGGCGCCACCCCGGGUUCGUCUUCGACGGCGUCAUGAAGGGGCUGCAGCCUGGGUCAAGGUACUUCUACAAGGUUGGCAAUGAUCUAGGAGGUUGGAGUGAGACAUACAGCUUCAUCUCACGCGACACCGAGGCCAACGAGACCAUCGCAUUCCUCUUUGGUGAUCUGGGCACUUACGUUCCUUACAACACCUACUUUCGAACACCUCAAGAAAGUUUGUCAACUGUGAAAUGGAUUCUCCGUGAUCUCCAGGCCCUUAACGACAAACCUGCAGUCAUUUCACAUAUCGGUGACAUCAGCUACCCUAAGGGCUAUUCGUGGUUAUGGGAUCAUUUCUUCGAACAGAUUGAGCCUAUUGCUGCCAAUACACCAUACCAUGUCUGCAUUGGGAAUCAUGAGUACGACUGGCCUUCCCAACCUUGGAAACCCUCCUGGGCUGCAAACAUAUAUGGUGGGAAUGAUGCUGGCGGCGAAUGCGGAGUACCAUACAGCACCAAGUUCAAAAUGCCUGGAAAUUCUUCUCUCCCUACCAGCACCAUUGCUCCUGACACCCGGAAUCUCUACUACUCCUUUGACGCAGGUGUUGUUCAUUUUGUUUACAUGUCUACUGAGACUGACUUCACUCAUGGCAGUGAUCAAUACAACUAUAUAAAAGCCGACCUCGAGCGCCUCAACCGGAGUCGAACACCAUUUGUCGUGUUCCAGGGCCACCGUCCGAUGUACACCUCAAGCAACGAGUCCAAGGACACGGCUCACAGGGAGCAGAUGAUUCAGCAUCUGGAGCCUCUCUUUGUGAAACACGGCGUGACACUCGCUCUGUGGGGGCAUGUUCACUGGUAUGAGAGGUUUUGCCCCAUGAAGAACUAUCAGUGCCUUAACACUUCGUCGAGCUUCGUGUACCCUGGUGCUCCUGCGCAUGUUGUGAUCGGGAUGGCUGGGCAGGACUACCAAGCAAGCUGGGAACCGAGACCUGACCACCCUGAAGUCCCCAUAUUCCCUCAGCCGCAGAGGUCCAUGUACCGUGGUGCUGAAUUCGGGUACGCAAAACUUGUGGCCACAAGGGAGAAGUUGACACUGACAUACAUUGGUAACCAUGAUGGGCAAGUCCAUGACAUGGUUGAAAUAUUUUCGCCGCAAGUCGAUACCGACAGCGCACCUGAUAAGCUGGUCGGUGCGAUGCCGAAGAAGAUGAGAUACCUGGGAAUUGCCGGCAGCGUGAUGCUUGCGAUGCUGCUCGGAUUCAUGGCUGGCUUUGCUGUUAGAAGGAAGACGGACCCGGCACGAUGGAGUCCUGUACAAGAUGAGGAAUCCUAA
rnacentral:rRNA from 1 species